rnacentral:rRNA from 1 species
UACGUAGGGAGCAAGCGUUGUUCGGAUUUACUGGGCGUAAAGAGCGCGCAGGCGGUCGUUCAAGUCGCGUGUGAAAGCCCCCGGCUCAACUGGGGAGGGUCACGCGAUACUGAUCGACUGGAAGGCAGGAGAGGGUAGUGGAAUUCCCGGUGUGGUGGUGAAAUGCGUAGAUAUCGGGAGGAACACCAGUGGCGAAGGCGACUACCUGGCCUGUUCUUGACGCUGAGGCGCGAAAGCUAGGGGAGCAAACGGG